AUAUGUAUAUAUAUAUUUUUUUUUAAUACCACGUCGGUGGCAAACAAGCAUACGGGCCGCCUGAUGGUAAGCAGUCACCGUAGCCUAUGGACGCCUGCAACUCCAGAGGUGUUACAUGCGCGUUGCCGACCUUUUUUUAAAAACCUGUACACUCCUUUUUUGAAGAACCCCAUACCGUAGACCCUCGGGAAAACCUCGGAAGGGAGCUCAUUCCACAGCCGGAGCGUCCGCGGGAGGAAAUUCCUCUUAAACCGCACAGUACGCGACCAUUUAGGUUCUAGGGUGUGUGGAUGAACACCCUGCCGAUGGCGAGCGGUGCGGUGAUAGAAAGCUGCCGUUGGCAUCAUGUCAAACAAUUCUUCAGAGCACAGCCCAUUGUACAAGCGGUAGAACACACAUAAGGAGGCAAGGUCUCUCCUCAGACUUAAAGGUUCAAUACCGCUUGUGAGUUUGGGAUCAUC